UACGUAGGGUGCGAGCGUUGUCCGGAAUUAUUGGGCGUAAAGAGCUCGUAGGCGGUGUGUCACGUCGUUCGUGAAAACCUGCAGCUUAACUGUGGGCGUGCGGUCGAUACGGGCAUCACUGGAGUUCGGCAGGGGAGACUGGAAUUCCUGGUGUAGCGGUGAAAUGCGCAGAUAUCAGGAGGAACACCGAUGGCGAAGGCAGGUCUCUGGGCCGAUACUGACGCUGAGGAGCGAAAGCGUGGGGAGCGAACAGG
rnacentral:rRNA from 1 species